UGGGGGAUAUUGCACAAUGGGGGAAACCCUGAUGCAGCGACGCCGCGUGGGUGAAGAAGUAUUUCGGUAUGUAAAGCCCUAUCAGCAGGGAAGAAAGAAG
rnacentral:rRNA from 1 species